CUAAGGAGCAUCUCCGAUUCUCGUGCCACACAGGUGGUGUCGAGGUUGGCAGAGCCGCUUAUGUUCCCGAAUGUGGAACUGCGGAGCUCAUGGGUGGAACGCUGACAAUCUCCAUCGCAUCGACGGCGAUCCUCUGUGGUUGCCGGCGGUGGAUAUAUCGACACACUGUUGGGUCCUGAAAGAACAGACGUUCUUUCCAGGCAAAAAAUAGAUCUGCUCAGGUUUUCUGUGAUACCGGCUUUCUUCGGAGGGUGCUGGUCCUGAAGUUUCGAUCUGGGUGGGUGUGUUGUUUGAGAACUGCACAGUGGACGCGAGCAUCUUUGUUAGUAAGUGUUUAAGAGCGUAC
rnacentral:misc_RNA from 1 species